UACGUAGGUGACAAGCGUUGUCCGGAUUUACUGGGCGUAAAGAGCGCGCAGGCGGUCGAUCAAGUCGAGUGUGAAAGCCCCCGGCUCAACUGGGGAGGGUCAUUCGAAACUGGUCGACUCGAAGGCAGGAGAGGGUAGUGGAAUUCCCGGUGUAGAGGUGAAAUUCGUAGAUAUCGAGAGGAACACCGGUGGCGAAGGCGGCCUUCUGGACGGCGACUGACGCUGAGACGCGAAAGCGUGGGGAGCAAACAGG
rnacentral:rRNA from 1 species